rnacentral:lncRNA from 1 species
AUGUUAAUGAGGUCAUACCAGUGGGGCCCUAAUCUGGUAGGAAUGGUGUCCAUAUAUGAAGAGGAAGGGCACCACAGAAUGUCUCUCUUUCUCUGGGCAGGCACAGAGGAAAGACUAUGGGAGGACACAGCAAGAAAGUGGCUUUCCGCAAACCAGGAAGAGAGGCCUCCCCAGAAACCAACCCUGCUAGCACAUCCAACCUCACAAAAGACUCAAGGAGAACUUCUGGCCUCCAGAACUUUGAGAAAAUGUCUAUUGUUAAGCCACCCAACCUUUGGUAUUUUUCUAUGUCAGCCUGAGCUGACUAAUACCCUUGGUCUAACAUCGAAGUCUUUCAUCUGUCUUGAAUUAAUUUUUGUAUAAGGUGUAAGGAAGAGAUCCAGUUUCAGCUUUCUACAUAUGGUGCAGCUGCAGGGGAUGACACGGAAGAUGCAAGCACUGAGUUCACUGACAGUAUUGAGGAGGAGGCCACACACCAUAGUCACCAGCAAGUAAGUCAGUGUCAGGGUCUGGAGCUUCCAGGGUGGAUGGCACACAGCCCUUCUGAGGUCUGAUGGUCUCCUGCAGCCCUUGUGGACUUAGAGUGAGAAUAUAUAUUUUUAUAUAAACCACUUCUCAGUCAUCUUCCUGUUCUCCUUGAGCUUCCCAGCUCCUUUCCAGCCCACAUAUCUUCCUCCAUUUUCUCUCCAAUUAAGCCCUUUGGUUGUAUUGUAUCUCUUUCUUCU